UAAACUCAUUGCUUUACCAAGUAGCUG
rnacentral:piRNA from 1 species